AGUGAACGCUGGCGGCAGGCCUAACACAUGCAAGUCGAGCGGCAGCGCGUCCGACCACCCUCGGGUGGUCGGAUGGCGGCGAGCGGCGGACGGGUGAGGAAUGCAUCGGAAUCUGCCUCGUUGUGGGGGAUAACGUAGGGAAACUUACGCUAAUACCGCAUACGACCUACGGGUGAAAGUGGGGGACCUUCGGGCCUCACGCGAUGAGAUGAGCCGAUGCCGGAUUAGCUAGUUGGCGGGGUAAAGGCCCACCAAGGCGACGAUCCGUAGCUGGUCUGAGAGGAUGAUCAGCCACACUGGAACUGAGACACGGUCCAGACUCCUACGGGAGGCAGCAGUGGGGAAUAUUGGACAAUGGGGGGCAACCCUGAUCCAGCCAUGCCGCGUGUGUGAAGAAGGCCUGGUUGUAAGCACUUUGUUGGG
rnacentral:rRNA from 1 species